AUUAAGGCAUUGAUACAUUUGAUACCAUGCCCUCUUCUCUCUGGAAAGGUAGACUUUCUUCGAGUUAACCUUGCACGAUAAACCAUUGCAAUGUUCUGAUCCACAUUAAAGGAAGGGUCUCCAGAUUUUAUCAAUCCUCGAUAUGAGCCAAGAAGGAAGUUUGAACAGAGAAAGGUAGUAUAUAGGAAGAGCCAUAAGGACAACAUUUAUAAG
rnacentral:lncRNA from 1 species